rnacentral:tRNA from 1 species
CCGCCCUUAGCUCAGUCGGAUAGAGCCACGGCCUUCUAAGCCGUAGGUCACACGUUCGAAUCGUGUAGGGCGGGCCA